AAUUUUACUUCUUAAAAAAAUACUAUUAGGAAUUUUUUUAGAGACAUUACUGUACAUUGUUUAAUCAGCUGAUUGGACCAGCACAAUAUAGCUUUAAUAGUUAUCCUUGUAUCUUCUCCUUUGGUGCAUUUACAAAAUACAUGAUUCUUUAUUCUAGAGAGUAAUAUAAUUCCUUUGUUCUUAUAUGUUAUUAGAUAAUAUUGAAACAUCGAUUUAGAUUUCGAGCACCAAGUUCUGAAAUUUUACUGUUUCCAUUCCAAUUGAUCCUGGAGUUCCACUUCAUAUGUGGAAGUGGAAAUUUGAGAAUACAUCAACACACCUCCAAAGAAUGAAGAAGGUAUCAUCGACUGUGAAAAGUCCUACAUUGCCGUGUCAGAUGAAGGAACAUGGCAUGUCCCUUGAUAACCCAGGAUCUUUACUGGGUACCUUUCAACCACCAGAUGGAAUCACAUUAGCAAUUUUUCUUUCAGAGAUCGACAAUGAAACCAUUUGUCUUAUCAGGUUCAUCAGAUAAAAUAAUAAAUAUAAUAGCAGCAGUUGCACUGGAUGGAGUUUCAGCAUUGGUAGGCAUUGUUUAUGUGGGAAUUUAUAAAAAGAACGAAUAAAAGGUUGCCGCACAUCUCCCGGCAUCUUCUGAUCUAUCCCAUCUACCUGAUCCUCUUUUAUUAACUUAAUGUUGUCAAUGUGUUCCAUCUGCCAAUGUGUACUGACCGAGUCUGUCUGUAAAUAUAUUUUGUAUUUUGUUUGCCAGCUGCCAGUCAUCAAGUUCGAUCAACUUAACCUCAAGAUAACUUAAACAAAGGAAAAAGUAUACAAUCCUCUGACCAUUUCUCAAACAAGAACAACAAAUAGCAACGUCCAGGCACUGAGAAGGAAAUAUGUGCAAUGAAGGAGUUGAAGAGUUGAUGUUCCCGGGACACGUUGCAAUUGCUAGAAUACUUCUUUUUUCUUCUGAAUUUCUUUUGUUUCUAACUUACUAGAUCAUCCCUUUUAACUAAAUCAUUCAUAACUUGAAUAAGUUGCUUCAUUGCAAAUUGUGGCUUAUAUAGUUGAAAUAAGUUCCAUCAAUACUCUGUUUAC